GGUCUAACAAUCUCUAUGAAUAAGAGAUGUGAAAAUGCAAACAAUAAUAGCUGUUUCACUUUUACUUAAUCAUAAACAUUAUGGCUGCCACCAGAAACAGCAUGUCUGGCAUUAGCAAUUACUACCUUGAUGUUUUAAAAAAAAACAGGUUUAAUCCACCAUUUUCUACAUUUGAAAAUGCCUGUACCAAGUCAGGAAUAUGACAGUUCUUGUCCAUUUGUUUUUGAUGUGUUUUGUUAUUUGAUUUUGCCAUGUGAUUAUGGACUUUCCGAUUAGAUUUUUCUCUAAGUUCAGUAUUUUUGUGAUUUUACUUUUUAGAAAACAUUACAACUAGCUUCUUAAUUUAAGGCCAAGUAUGAUUUUCUUGGCCUUAAAUUAUAUGUUUACAUAACUUUUGAAUUUUCUAAAUUCUAAGGCUUUUUUACCUCAGGAAUAGAUAAUAUUAGCUGUAUCCGGCAAAACUGUAAGAAAUUUUGGUCCUCAACUCUCUUCAACUUCAUAUUUUAUUUGCCCCUUUUUUUCCUUUUUUUAUUCGAGCAUCAAUGAUGAGUCUUGUGUAGACGAAACGCGCGUCUGGCUUAAAUACAAAUUAUUAUCCUGGUAUCUAUGAUGAGUUUAUUUACAACCACUGGGUCGCUGCCACUGCUGGUUGAGUUUAAAUUCCCCAAGGGUAUCACGAGCCCAGUAGUCAGUUGACAUGAAUUAUCAUUGAUAUGGUCAUAUUUAUAAAUUAACUGUUUACAAAACUUUUGAUUUUUUAAGUUCUAAGGCUUUUCUACCUCAGAAAUAGAUAACCUUAGCUGUAUUUGGCAAAACUUUCAGGAAUGUUGGUCCUCAAUGCACAUCAACUUUGUAUUUUAUUUGCCUCUUUUUUUUUUUUUUUUUAUACCAGAAUCACUGAUGAGUCUUUUGUAGACCGAACGUGCAUCUGGCGUAAAUACAAAAUUUAAUCCUGGUAUCAUUUUCCCCAAGGCAAAUUUUUGUGCUUCAAUUUGCCUUUUGAAACAUUUUUUUUCAAACAAUGUUAUACAUGACUAGAAAUAUUAAUAUUGAACUAAACAUACAGUCAGUUUUUGUUCUAUUAGUCUUCAAAAACGAAUGAUUAAAAAUCAGGUGUAUUUUUAUCUGAAUUUAG
rnacentral:lncRNA from 1 species